CUGGCCACUGGUUUAUAAGCACCUUGGCACUGCUGUCUCUGUCAGGAAGGGAGGCUCCUACAGACGGACUCUGACCAACCCCUGCCCGGGACGUUGCUGAGGACAGGAUGAUGGCCAGACCAUACUGUGUGGUAGUGGCCCUGCUGCUGCUGGCAGUGGUCUCUGGGUUCGAAGAAGGGGCAUCCAAUCCUGGGUUCGUGGCCAGAAUAACCAGAAAAGGCCUGGAAUAUGCCCGCCGAUUCGGAGUAGCCAUCCUGAAGAAGGAACUGUCCACAAUCAAGUUGCCUGAUUUCUCAGGAAGCUUCAAAGUCGGCUGGAUUAAAAGCGUGAGCUAUGACUUUUACAGACUGAAGAUCCAUCGCUUCGAGCUCAGGAACUCGGAUUUGAGGCUACGUCCACGGCAGGGGGUCACAGCCUCCCUGGCCAAUAACUACGUAUUUGUCAGUGGGAACUGGAAGGUGAAAAAGGCUUUCGUCACCCUAGAUGGUACUUUCGAUGUGAGUGUGGAUGGCAUUUCCAUCUCAGUUUCUCUGAACUUGGGCAAGGACCAGUCGGGACGGCCCACUGCCUCCGUGGCCCGCUGCCGCAGCUCCAUCGGCCACAUCAGCGCUGACAUUUCCGGACGGCUAAGCUGGAUCCUGAACCUCUUCCAUGAAAGAAUUGAAAACAAUUUCAAAAAUAUCUUGGAACAAAAGAUCUGCGAAAUGGUCAGGAAGUCAACCACGUCUCACCUGGAGCCCUAUCUCCGGACUCUGCCAGUUAUCUUAAUGAUUGACCAGGUUGCUGGCAUUGACUACAGUUUAGUAGGUGCUCCCCAAGUGACUUCUCAAAUCCUAGACACACCCUUCAAGGGUGAAUUCUUUGGCCGAAACUGGCACUCCCCAGCCCCCUUCGAUGCUCCGCCCAUCAGGUUGCCAGAGAAACAUGAUCACAUGGUCUACUUUGCUGUCUCUGAAUAUGUCUUCAACACGGCCAGCCGGGCUUACCACCAGGCUGGGCGCAUGAACUUCACCAUCCAAAACAAGCACGUUCCCAUGGACUCUCCCAUCCGCCUGCACACCAGCUCGUUCCGGACCAUUGUUCCUCGGCUGGCCAGGUUGUACCCCAAUACGGAGUUAGAGCUUGAGAUGUCACCUGAAUCAGCUCCUUUCCUGAGGUUCACCCCUGGAAACGUGACCCUCAUGCCGGUGCUAGACAUCCAGGCCUUCGCUCUCCUGCCCACCUCCUCUGACCGCAAGCCACUCUUCCAGCUCAGGGUGACAACCAACAUCUCCGCCACCAUCAGUGUGAGUUCGGACAGGAUUGUUGGUUCAGUGACCACAGGAAGUAAGCUGAAAUUGGAACUGAAACACUCCAACGUCCGUUUCAUCAACGUGGAGCUGAUGGAAGCCAUCCUCAAUUACUACGCGCUCCACACCAUAUACCCCUCUCUCAAUGGCCAGCGGCAAAUGCCACGAGCGUGUGUCCGCACCUCUCCAGCCUUCCCCGUCCAGCCCGUGUCUCUCUGCUCUUUAUCUUCCAGCAAAGCUUGAGGAGGGCUUCCCUCUCCCUCUGCCAAGGGACACCCACCUCAACAGCUUGGAGCUCCAAGUCCACGAGAAUUUCUUGCUCCUGGGAGCCAACCUUGAUGAGGCUGAACACUGAGGAAGGAGCAGCGUGGCUGGAGGAGGGGACGGCACCACAGCUGGGCCUGCCCCCACCCCCGCGGGGGGUCCGGAGGCUGCGGCCGCUCUGCCUCCACUCCUCAUUAAAGCCUCCUCCACGUGGACACUCGUCACCGGGGAGCCUGGAGCACCCGAUGACACCCCUGACCGUGGGACACCUUCCCCACCCCUCUCCUCCUCCUUCCUGUGCCCUUUCCUGCCCCCUUUGCAGCUGUCCUUAGCCUCACUCUGGGCAGCCGCUAGAAUAAACUUCAGUGAAGGGGGGAAGCGUGAGCAGUGUCCAGUCACCGCAGAGCUCAAAGCACGCUGCUCAUCGUUAAACAUGAACUUAGUUGGACAUGUCCUUUGAUGUUGUGGCUACAGGAGCAGAAGUGAGACAACGUGGGCUUAAAGCCUUGUGUUGCCACUUCCUUGGUGCAUAAAUAUUCACUGACAUGGGAGCAGAGACCAGCCAGCCGCUACAUGAGUUCAACAUUUAUUCAACAAACCUCGAUUUCAGUUUGCUGCUGAGUGUCCUGCACUGGCCUCCGUGUCUGGGCUCGGUGCUGUGGAGGGAGGGGGUCAAAGUCUUCCUCAAGCUUUCUGCCAAAAACAGGGGCCAGCAGACCAGAGAGCAGAUUUUUCAGGCUUUUACCACACAUCUAGUCUCCAUCGGGACUACUCCUCCCGGCCACUGUAGCAGAGAACAGCCAGACAGCCAGUGAGCGGGCGUGGCUGUGUUCCAAUAAAACUUUAUUUACAAAAACAGGUGGCAGGCCAGAUCUGAGUGGCGGGCCACGCGGUGUCCACCCGUGGUCUAAAAGAAUAAUCCACCUCCAAUAGAUAGGAUUUAUACCAUGAAUACAGGUCUGGUUUUCAAUUAGGAGAUGUGCUAACAUGUCACAAGAGUAAUAAAGAGCUCAGGCUUGAGGCAAGCCUGGCCUGCUUUCGAAUACUGGCUCCCUCUCCUCGGCUCUCCGCAAUCCCCCAGAAUCCUGUGUUUUAAAAUAGCACAAGCAGUGGCCAAUGACCAUGCCACUCGAAGCCCCCUGCUCAACCUUAAACGUGUUGAAUGACUUAGUUGCACGUGUCAUUUGACAUCAUGACGUGGGGAAGAGGAGAGAUUGAAAUAAACUAUGUGGAAAGUGCUCAGGGCGAUUCUUGGCCCGAGCUGUGCUAGAUCGAUAAACUAGCAUGGUCAUCACCGUCCACUCCUCGUUAUUAAAGACCCCUUCAUAGACGAGGAGUAGGAUGACAGAUUUUCAAAUUUUUAGUCUGUCUUGCACCAUCAACCAAAAUCAUACCUGUGAUGAGAUCACAGAGGUGUUGCCUUUUUAUCUCGGAAGGCCCAGGAAAUGAGCCAGAAUGUCAGACAACCUUGGCCAGGAAAACCCAAAGUGUCUAAAAGUGGAGCCGUGAGAUGGUCAGCCAGGAUGGUGAAAGAGAAUGAACCGAAGUGAAAUAUCAUCCUGAAAUGCUCAGUUAAUUAUCAGAGUUAUGACUUUCCCUGUAGAUUAUUCUAUCUCCUCUGUUGCCCUCGCCGUCAGCUAUUGGAAAGCAACU